CCUACGGGCGGCAGCAGUGGGGCAUAUUGCGCAAUGGGCGAAAGCCUGACGCAGCGACGCCGCGUGAGGGAUGAAGGUCUUCGGAUCGUAAACCUCUGUCAGCAGGGAAGAACGGUCACUGUGCUAAUCAGCAGUGAAUUGACGGUACCUGCAAAGGAAGCACCGGCUAACUCCGUGCCAGCAGCCGCGGUAAUACGGAGGGUGCGAGCGUUAAUCGGAAUUACUGGGCGUAAAGCGCUCGUAGGCGGUAUGUCAAGUCAAGGGGGAAAUCCCCGCGCUCAACGUGGGAACGGCCGUUGAAACUGGCAAACUGGAGUGUGUGAGAGGAUAGUGGAAUUCCAGGUGUAGGAGUGAAAUCCGUAGAUAUCUGGAGGAACAUCAGUGGCGAAGGCGACUAUCUGGCACAUAACUGACGCUGAGGAGCGAAAGCGUGGGUAGCAAACAGGAUUAGAUACCCCAGUAGUC
rnacentral:rRNA from 1 species